rnacentral:rRNA from 1 species
UACGGGAGGCAGCAGGGGGGAAUAUUGCACAAUGGGCGCAAGCCUGAUGCAGCCAUGCCGCGUGUAUGAAGAAGGCCUUCGGGUUGUAAAGUACUUUCAGUCGUGAGGAAGGUGUUAAGGUUAAUAACCUUAGCAAUUGACGUUAGCGACAGAAGAAGCACCGGCUAACUCCGUGCCAGCAGCCGCGGUAAUACGGAGGGUGCGAGCGUUAAUCGGAAUUACUGGGCGUAAAGGGCACGCAGGCGGUUAAUUAAGUUGGAUGUGAAAUCCCCGGGCUUAACCUGGGAAUGGCAUUCAAGCUGGUUAGCUAGAGUCUUGUAGAGGGGGGUAGAAUUCCAUGUGUAGCGGUGAAAUGCGUAGAGAUGUGGAGGAAUACCGGUGGCGAAGGCGGCCCCUGGACAAAGACUGACGCUCAUGUGCGAAAGCGUGGGGAGCAAACAGGGAUUAGAUACC